CGGUUUUUUAGACGGAGGGUAACAUAUGUUAACGGAACUAAAGUUGAGGGUUUAUUUCACAGGAUUUUUAGUUGAGGUUUUUUUUUACGAUUCAUCUUUAGUUGAGGGGUUUAAUUACUAAAAACCCAAAAUUUAACUAUGUAGUAUUUACUGAAUAACAAGUAAGAUAGAAAAACGAAUGUUCAGUUAAUGUGACUAGGCUUGUCUCUUUUGUGGUCUCUCCUUUUUUGGCAUUUAACAUCAAACCACGAUGUUUUAUUCCUUUCUUUCUACUUCCCGAAUCCAGUUUUUUCAACGACACGAAUUCAUGACUAGCUUCACAACAAUAUUUUCAAAAGAUUCUGACGUUGACUGUUGACUACUGACUUUGACAGAAAUAUGAUUAGCAACAUGUGUUAAUUAAGUAAAAUUUAAGAGGACAAUAGAUGAGAUGAGACCUUGUGGAAAUUGUGUAUGAACUAUGAACAUAGCUAUUAGCAUUUUAGUCGUUACCAGUCUUUAUUGUUUAGUGAAUCUAAACAAUAGUAUCAUCUUUUGUAUGUACCAAUCAUGUCUAAAGUGUAAUAUUAUGUUUUUGAUCCUAGUCUAUUGCUAUAUACAGGUGUUUUCCCUUUUGAGUAUAUACUUUGCUUUUGCUAUAUCCUAACUAGCUAGGAGUAUAUUGCUUUUCUUCCUGGCUUUUUUUGAUCAGUCCCAGGAACAUUCCCAGAAACAUUAUAGAAGCCAUCGCCCAAUUUAUUUUGUGUGUGUGUGUGUAAUAAUAUAUAUAGGUUUUUCUAUUAAUAGUUUUUACAUAAACGUUACUACAUACUGUAAGUGUAUAUGUAUGAUACCGUAUGAGCGUGAAAGCUAACUUAGGAUGUGGUCCUUUUUCGAAAAAGGGCAUUCGUAAUUUUGGAAGAUUCGUAUUUGCAUUAUUGUUAAACAGCUGUAGAGGCAAAGACCUGACUUUUUAUAUAAGGCCAAGACAAUUACUUUCUUAUGUAAAGACCAAAUGCGAAUUGCAUCCACUUCUAUAGAUCUGAAAACGUCCAUAACUUUAUUUUACUAUCAAUAGUAAGGACCAAAUAUCUAGCAUUAGAGACAAGUUUCGGUUUAAACCUGGUUUGGUUUUACCAAGUGUUGUGUUCUGGUUCAUUUGUUGCUAGUAAACUCAGGCUUAGGAUCUUUGCAUUUAAGUUCGUCGUAUUGUAAGUUGCAAUUAUGUUUCAGGUGGAAUGUAUACACAACAUUCUCCAAAAAAAUAUGUUAAAACCUAAUUAAAUAUACCCUCUCUAAACUUUUACGAAUCUUGAUUAUCCAGAUAGCACGAUAGUUAAUACAAACCAUCAAUAAUCAAUGUGAUUGUAACUAAAUGAUAGUUAAGGGAAGCGAGUGUUUAAGGCUAAUACCACAACUUAAUCGGUUUAUUUACAAAGAGGACAUCAUAAUCAUCGCCGUUUGUUACCCCUACCGGAAACUGAACAAUAGAAACAUUUAAUUUAAAACAUAAAAAAAAAAGAGAAACAGAGGUUACACGGUGAGAACACCAACAUAUUACAUCUACAUAUAUAUCAAACCCACAAAAUAUCAUGGCGGCGCAAAUACCCUAAACCCCAAGAAUAGAACCGGUCAAGGAUGAGUUGGGUACACGCGCCCUCCGUUGCCCUUCCCGUGGCCGUUGCCAUUAGAGUGAUCAGAGGUCCGGCUACUACAGGGAGAAAAGGCAGAGAUAAUGGCUUCGACGGCCAUAGUCUUCACCAGCUUCCUCUUAACGGGAAUCACACUCGCUGCUUCUUUCUUCACCUUACGCUCCGCAGUAGAACUAGAAAUUUCUCCUUUGGAAUUCAUAUUCCUAUUAGCCUAUUUAUUUGUAUCUAUGUGUGUGUUUUGUACUUUUGUUCUUGUGUUUGUUUGAUGCUUUUGUAAUUGAGAAGGCAUGCAAAAUGUGGGCUGAUUUAUAUAGGCAGAGGAGAUGCCUUUAAGUGAGAACUGUUAACUUCUGCUCUAAGUUGCUCCAUGUCGUGUCAGCCAACCAUUUGCUGUAAAGAGGAAAUUUAAGUUAACACCUUCUACUUUUGAUAUAAGUUCCGAGUGGAAUAACAAAACCAAACGAAACUUUCCUUAAAUUUCGAGAACAUUUUAAUAUUUCUGGAGCAUACGUGGAUGCGUGGAUACAUAUUAAUCUAAAAAAGAAAUUGAUUAAGAUUAACAAUUGAAUUAUAAUAGGCAAUUUCCAUGCAAAAUUAACAUUAGCAGAUGAGGACAGCAACUUGGGAACCAAGCAACGGGGAAAACGACGUUCGACACAUGUUAUUUAGUGAGGAGCUCUUUUCUAUUCACGACUCUUGUCUCACUACAAGAAAAAUGUGUUUUAAUAGCGGACGAAUAACGCUAUAUAACAAUACUAUAGCGGUUUUUGAAACGCUGUAUCAUCGCCCGUCAUAAUAGGUAAAAGACAUUACAUAGCGGUUUUUUAUGCUGCUAUCUUUUCUUCCGAUACCAUAAUGUUUUCUAUCUGCAAUUAAAUAUUAUUUAAUAGCGUGUCAUAAAUGCUAUUACUUAUAUUAAAAUUCUUUAUUUUAAAAAUUAUUUAUGGAAAUUUAAUUGCUUGAAAAUAAAAACAUAAUUAAAAUUUAAAUUGGUUUAUAUAUUUCAAAAUUUGUUUAUUAUUUAAACUGAUUUAUAAUAAAACUGGUUUACAAAAAGAAUAUGAUUGAAGAGAUGGUGAGAGAGGAGGAGACGAGAGAUCGUGAGAAAGAAGAUGAAAGAGAUAAUGCAAAAAAAUAAAAUAUUAAACUGAAUCACUUUUGUCCGUUAGAUUGAGUUAUAUCAACGGUGGAGAUCAAAUAUAUUAGCUAUCCUCACCAUCCUGUUUUAACCAAUGAAAUUUUUUACUCUUUGUUUUAUUAAUUGACCAAUGAGAAAGAAGGGAAAGGAUUAACAAAAGAGUGAGUAACCAUUGGAUUAAAAGGAAUCAAUAGUCAUAGAUUAACUAAUCAAAACUGUUUUAUUUAAUAGAUGUUUUAAAAAUUAUAAUUUUAUUAUGUAACUAGUUUUAUUUAUAUAAAAAUUAAAUUAUCAUUUACAAUUAUAAAGUUACGAUAAGAACUAUUGAAUUUCAGAUUUAACAUAUAAGAUUUUAAAGCAAAGGUUUGUGUGAUAGGGUUCAAAGGUUAUAUUUAAUGUUUGAAAAAGAAAAUUUGAAAAGAUCAUAUAUUUAUAAUAAUUUUUAAUAGUUUUUUGUUUUAUUAAAACUUGGAAAUAUUAGAUCUGGGAUUUUUCAUUUAAAGUUUAGGGUUUAUAUGAUGUUCGAAUAGGGAUAUAGAGUUUAGGGUUUGAAAAGAUGUAAAGAAUUUAGGGUUUGAGGUUUAGAUUUAAGAUUUGAAUUGAAAAUUAAUUUUGAAAAUAUUAAAAUUUAAAUUUAAAACUUAAGACUAGAAUAUGAAAAUAUUUGAGCGUUAGGCUUGUGUUUAUAAUUUAGGGUUUAAAAUAUGUUCUAAGUUUAGGGUUUUAAAUAACCAAACAUAGCAUUUUUAAUUAUGUUUUGCUAUUAAAACUAAGUUUUACGUUAAAACUAUACACUAUUAUAGCGUUUUUAAAUAUGCCAUUCUAUCAUAGCGUUUCAAAAUGUACAAACGCUAUCUAAAACUAAGGCGCAUGUCAAUUAUAGCACAAAGGCAAAAAAUGCUAUCCUUUACUGCUAUUAAAACACAUUUCUCUUGUAGUGUCUAAAGAACAAUAUAUAAAAUUUUAACGAAUAUACAUACAUAGUCAUAGAUAAUAUUCUCUUCAUUGAAUAAUAAAUGAUGUUUCAGUAUUAUAUUUCUGUUUAAAGAUGAUCUCUAUAUUAUCUUUCAAAUACAUCAAAAUUUAAGAAAAGGUAAAAUGGUUUGUAUAUUAUCUUUAUAUUUUACUCUUAUUAUUAUGUUUAUACAUCUUUAUAUUUUACUCUUAUUAUUAUGUUUAUACAUCAUAUUAUUUUGGCAUGGGUGGAUCUUUGUUAUCCUAAAGAAGAAGGAGGUAUUGGCGUACGAAAGCUCUGUAACUCGUCUAUGUGUUCGCUAUGAAUUUAAUUUGGAAAAUUUCUUUGCAUACAAGUUCUCUGUAGGUCUCUUUGAUUCAACAAUACUUGCUAAAACAAAAAAAAAAAUCGGGAUAUAAAGGAGGACGGUAAAGGAUCUUUGAUAUGGAGAAAACUUUUGAAGUUGAGACCUUUGUAUCAGUUCAUUCGGUUUGAGGUAAAUGAUGGUCAGGCUGCUUUCUUCUAGUUUGAUGAUUGGCUACAAAUGGGGAAGCUUAUCAACAUCGCUGGUGCUGUUGGCAUUUGUUAUCUUGGAGUUGCACGUAACGUGUGUGUCUAAGAGAUGCAAUUUUGCACUCUAAUUGGAACAUAAGGGGUCAUAGAAGUCGCUAUUUCCAUGCUCUUUACGAUAACAUUCAGAGUGAACAGGUCCCUCACGACACUCUUGGCAGCAAUAUUGUGCUCUGGAAGCAUUUUGAUGAUACCUAUAAAUUUUGUUUCUCAUCGGCCAGGACUUGGGAUCAAAUUAGGGCGAGAAAGCCACUGUUUUUCGAAGUUAGAGUGUAUGGUUUUCUUAAGGAGGCCCGCGUUCUUCAUUUAUAAUGUGGUUGGCAAUUAAAAAUAGAUUGUCAACAGGUGAUAGAAUGAGAGUUUGAGGUAUUCGUCAGGAUUGUGUCUUAUGUAGAGAGAGGGAUGAGACACGAAACCAUAUUUUCUUUGCUUGUCCUUACUCCUUUAUAGUCUGGGACAAGCUUGCGAAUCGAUCGAGUGGGAGAUAGGACUGGCCCAGACUGGAUGGCUACGCUGCAGUUUGUAAGUGGUAAUACUCUUUGAAGCAUGGACAAGAUUCUAAUAAAUAUGGUGUUUCAGAGCUGCAUCUACCAUCUAUGGAAGAAGAGGAAUUAGAAGAAGCAUCAAACUGGUUGUCGGACAAUGAAUCAAGUGGUUCGGAUCAUUGAUAAGGCGAUGCACAACAUGGUUACUUUUCUUUGAUAUAAGGUUGACCAUAAGUUUGCAGGCUUGUGUCAUGUGUUUGAAGUAUCAGCUUCACAUAGGAGAUUAAAAUCAUUCUUUUACAAUAUUGUAUAUUUUUUUUUUUUAGUUUCUUUUAGUCUUGUAUAAAUGCUUAUAUUUUAUUCAUUGAUCAAUAAAUUUCACAUUUCAUCCAAAAAAUUAUAUUCAUGGUGUUAACUAAUCUAAAUUUAUGGUUUAGAUUUGAGAGAUGUGGUUUUGGGAUAGAGUUUAAGAUUUUAAAAAUAAAUAAAUAAAUACUAAACUUUAUAAAAGUAGGUUAGUAUAUUAAUCUAGAUUUAUGAUUUAGUUUUUGUGAGAUGUAUUUAUUAAAAUAAUCGAUCAUUUCUAUUAUAUUAAUCGAUCAUUUCAAAUAAUAAUAUUUUGCUCACCUCACCAUAUCCUUUAUCAAACAAAUAAUUCAACAUUAAUCAAACAUAAUACUAUAUUUUAAAUCCUUAUAAUAUUAAUAGAAUUGUCGUACAAUCAUAAUGUUUCUGCUUUCUAGCUUUUAAUGUCCAAAUAGGAUCAAGAGAUGUGAUCUUGUUGAUAAAUAGCGUAGAGACAUAACUGUACAUGUAGAUUCGCUUUGGAUCUCGGCAAAAUAUCAUUUUUCCAUGAAAUCGUAUAUUCGUAUUGGGAUAACUGAAGUCAUAUCCUCUCUUUUUGUGUAUUUGUUCAUUUGUUUUCCACAUCUUUGUGGUUCUGUACUCUCUGUCUAUAGUAUUAAAAUAAAUGCGUUCAGACCACAACAUCUAUACUUGGUCGCUAGGAACCACGCAAAGAUCAGCCAAGGGCCCAUUUAUGUUCCUAAAUUUUACUUUUAUAUGAUCUAAAGAUUUUGUUGUCUGACAUUUGUGAAGAAAAACGAACGAAACGUGACGAAAUUACAGAACAACACACAAUUAUAGUCUUUAAUAGAUAGAUACAAAUACAACCAUGAUUAAUAGCGACUGUGAACUAGGAUACUAACAUUACCAUGAAACAGCUGUAGAGUACUAGUUAGAACUUAGACGUAGACAUUAUUACAGUAAUGAAGCCAUAAUCCAAUAAACUGUUAGUUCUUUUUCCCAUAUAAAUCAUGACAAUAUUCAUAAAACGGAUGGAUCAAAGAUAGUGUCACUGUAUAAAUUUACAAAUUUAUAUUAUAAAGAGCAUUAAUCAACGGAAUAUUUAGCUGUAUUUAACUAGACUUCGAGGAUAAAUGAAUGAGCUGGCAACGGGAAACGGUUCAAUUAAACUUCUUUGCCAAGACAAAGACAAUGUAAAGUGAUGUACAAUUAAGACGACACAACAUACAUGAACAUGAGGCUAUUUCCAAAUUGUCUACUCCACUUAUUUAUUUUAUUUUUUUGAAUUGAAUGUUAAAUUUAAUUAAAAAACAUUUUUACAAGGAAAAUUGAGCUAGAUAACCUUCAAACAAAUUAUAAUUCACCAACUAUCUAAAAAUUCUCAUUUAUCGGUAUACCAUGUACAUAAUAUAUAUUAUUGCCAUAUUGCCCACAUAUCCAACCGGUGAAACCUAUUACCAAAAAAAAAUAAAUAAAUAAUUAAUUAAUGUACCAAGUAAAAUAUAUGGCCAAGUUGUAUUCACUCUUACCUCUCAAGAUAAUUAGAUAACUUUAAGGAAGAUGAAAAUGAACGUGGUCUUUCAUUAUGCACACAUCUUCUUGAACUGAAUUUCUUCUCAUGAGAAGAACAAAGAACAACGAUGAAAGCGUAUACGAUGAGCAGACAUAACAACUCUUUCAUUUCUUUUCUUCUUUCUCUUAAAUCAUUGAUUUUCACAUCAUGAUUUUGUUUUCAUACUUUGUUUUUGUUUUUUUUUUUGUUUUAGUGAUCCAGUGGUGAAGAAUAACGACGGCAGACCGGUAAAAGCGUCGCCGUGUCGGAAAAAAGGAGAAGAGAUGAAGAUGAUCUUUAUAUGGUAGUGAAGAAUAACGACGGUGAACGAAAUGAAGGUGUAUCAGCAUGUUUGACAAAAGAAGAAUUGAAGAAGAUGAACUUAUCGUCUAUAUUAUAUUCGGGAAAGGAAUAGUAUAGUACAUAUUCUUUAGUGUAGUUAUUUAUGCAAAGUUACUAUACUAUUUGAAUAUAUAUCUAAAAAAUCCCUUUAAAAUGUAAUCAUCUACAUAUUUACAAAUUUGAUAAUUUUCUUCUAUGUCAUUUUGUGAAAUUGAUUGUAAUAUGAAAUUCAUACUAUAUUGGUUUAAACGUAAUGAUUAAAACCAAUUUUGGAUAGAUGACAAAUAAACUCUUAUAUUAGUGUACUAUACUACAUUUCUACACUAUAAAUAAUAUUUAUAUAGUAUAAAUUAAUAUUACAUAAUUUUAUGUAUUAUUUUUUAUUUUGAUAUUUGGAUUUAGAGUAUAUUUGAGUUUAUGGUUUAGUAAUUAGUGAUUAGGGUUUAGUAUUUAGAGUAAUAAUGGUGAGUUUGAGGCCAUUAUUAGAUUUUGAGAUUUGGGUUUAGAGUUUAGGGUUUAUGGUUUAUAUUUGGGUUUAAGGUUUAUACUUGGGUUUAGGGUUUAGUGAUUAGGAUUUAGGGUUUAGUAUUUAGAAAGGGCGGGGUUGGGAUUUGGGUUUAGUGAACAUGUAUCGUUUCAUUUGACGAUUAAUAAAGAAUGUUUUAUUUUGUUCACUAAUAUGUACUAUACUAUUUAUUUUAUUUCGUUCUAUUUGGGUUAGAGGCUAUACUUGGGAUUAGGGUUUAGUGAUUAGAGUUUAAAGUUUAGUAUUUGGAAGGUGUGGAGUUAAGGUUUGAGUUUAGUGAUAGCAGUUUAGGGUUUAAUAUUCAAAAUGUGCCUUCAAGUGUCCAAUAUUGGAAAACAAUUUAUAGAUUGUAUUUGAGUUUAUAGGUUCCUGCCUAGGGUUUAGAUUUACUAAGUAGAUGUUUGGGUAUAGUAAACCGUAUUAUAUACUAUUUGGGUUUAUGCUUUCUUAAUUAGGGUUUAGCUUUAAUAAUUAAUGGUGUGUCUUGUAUUGUUGUAUUUUUGCGGGUGGAGAGGAUUUACUAUUUGCAUUCCAUACUAUGGAUACACCACUGGAAUUUUUUGAUUAUUUGAAACAUUCGUAUACUAUACUACUAUGACUAUAUGGAAUAGAAGAUAUGUAACAUGCUAACCAAGUAAAUGUGCCUUCAAGUAAAUUUAUAGAUUGUAUUUGGGUUUAUAGGUUCAUGCAUAUGGUUUAGAUUAAGUAAGUAGAGGUUUGGGUUUAGUAAACUAUAUUAUAUACAUUCUAUUUGGGUUUAUGCCUCUUUAAUUAAGGUUUAGCUUUAUUAAUCAGUGGUGUGUCUUUCUUCUUAUUUGGAUCAUUUCUUUCUACUUUUGUACCAGCAACUUGCAUAUAUAGAAGGUAUAAUCGGAUAAUAUGAAGCCUAAAUGUUAGUUUGUUCAUUUAGGGUUUAGUGAUUAAGAUUUAGAGUUUAGUAUUUGGAAGGUGGGGUUUGAGAUUUGGAUUUAGUGACCCUAUCAUGUAUUGUUCCAUUUGACGAUUAAUAAAGAGUGUUCUAUUUUGUUUACCAUUAUGUUUUAUACUAUAUUUUUUGUUCCAUUAUAUAUGGGUUUAGGGUCUAUACUUGGGUUUAGGGUCUAUACUUGGAUUUAGUGAUUAAGAUUUAGGGUUUAGCGAUUAACAAUUAGGUUUUAGUAUUUGGAAGGUGGGGACUGAAGUUUGGGUUUAGUGAUAACUGUUUAGGGUUUAGUAUUCAAAAGUUAGGUAUGAGUUUAACAUUUAAGAGUUGUGUGUUGGGUUAGUCAUAUACUAUUUCUCAUAUGAAAUGAAACCAUCCUUUUAUUUUUCAUUAUGCACUAAAUUCAUUUCAGUUUCUACACCGUUAAUUCAUUUAUUUAUUUCAUGAAACCACAUCACUAAUCUAAUUUAAAAUUGUAUGUGGUAAUAAACACAAGUUACGUGUAUGUCAUCCAUAUCUCUCAUUCUGAACAGUUAUCUAUUAAAGUGUUCACACCUUAAAACGUCAACGUUAUCUCUUUCUUCUUUUUUCACCGGUUACUUGUAAUUAAAGAGGGUAUAACCGGAUAAAUUAUAGCAUAAAUGAUAGUUUCUUCAUUAUAUCAACAUCAGUGCCAUCCACCUCAUUUCUAUUAUGAAUUUGGUUAUUGGACAAAUAAACCCUUUUUACAAACUAGUGUACCUUUUUAAAAGUAAAUAAAAAGAUCUAAUUCUUUCUAAUGAUUCUCAACAAUUUAUCAAUAUUAUGAUCUCUCUAUCUGGUUCCAAACCAAUACUCCAUCCCGCCCGCGUACUCCUCAUCAUCUCUUUUCAGAAUCACAAUUAACAUAUUUCUCAUAUUUUUGUCAAGCCUUUUUAUCAAAACUGCAGCAGGAGAAGGAGACUCUCCAUGUCUCUUUUGUUCUUUUCUAUCCAGAUCAUAUGCACCGCUGACUGAAGCAUAUAUCUCACCGUGAAAGUCUGGAUUUUACUCCACCCUGAGCCACCUGUGAUCAUACCAAUAAGAUUUCCCCAACUCGCACGGUACUGGUCCUUUAAAACACCUUUCAUUAGUGCUUCCCACACCUGAGCCGAGUAGGUACAUUAAAAAAACAAGUGACUCAGAGACUCCAUAGACUACUGACUGAAUUUACAAGUUGUAUCAACAACCGCAUUCCAACAUUUCAUUUGAUCUCCUGUUGAAAGUCUCCCACGAAUAGUGAUUCAGGUCAUGAAUGAGAAUUUUGGAGUAGCAUGUUUAAACCAUACCGCUUGAUGCCAAGAACAGAGUUGAUGCUUCUCUUUAAUGCUGAGCCAAGUUUCUCGUGUUGAGAACACCUUCUUGUAUUUUCCUUUCUCAUUCUUCCAUAAUGAGAUAUCCUCCCCUUGACUCCAAUUCUCUUUGUAAUUUUCAAUUUCCAUUUCAACUCUGUUUAAGAUUUGCACACAAUAAUUUCUUCUUCUAUGACUUCUACUAUCCUCCACAGUAGCAUUGGUUGGAAUUCCCAUAUCUAUAUAUCCCCCUUCUCGCAAGAUAUCCUGUAAACAAUCCAUUGAAGACCAUUUUUCGUUCUAGAAUGACUCUUUUCUACCAUUGCGAACCUCCACUUUGUAAAAUUGCUUAGCUAUUUCCCGACACUUAAGAAUCUUUCUCUACAUCCAUGAACCAUCUUGAGAAUUCUCCUUAACCGUCCAUAUAGAGCCUUUUCUGAUAAGAUAAAUCUUGAUCCAACUAAUCCAUAGAGACUGAGCUGAAAGAAUCCUCCAUAUAAGCUUGAGACAGCAUACCAAAUUCAUUCUUUUAGCGGCCUCAAACCCAAUCCACCUUCUUGUUUUGUUUUACAAAUGUCUACCCAAAAUACAUUUGCUUACCUUCCAUUCAAACCCGGAUCCGACCACAGAAAAGCUGAGCAUAUUCUUUCUAUUUCUUUGAUACAGCCACUUGGGAACCGGAAAGCAGACAUCCGAAAAAGUUGUUAAACUUCUUAUGAUAGAGUUUAUUAACUGCAAACAUCCAGGAUAUGAAAGGAAUCUCCCCGUCUAGGAGCUGAUCCUCUUUAUAAUCUUUUCAACCAGAGGAAGAAAGUCUGUAACAGUCAUAUUCUUUGUUAGGAAUGGGAGUCCCAAGUAUCGUACCAGAAGCUUUCCUGUUGUAAACCCAUGUCUAGCAAUCUCUUCUUCUCUUACUAUUCUAGCCAUAAACAAGGUUGACUUCCCCAUACUGAUCUUCAGACCGCUAAUCUUAUCAAACUCUUCAAAAACUCUUAAGAUCCCUUCAAUCGAAUGUUUUGUUCCAUCAGCAAAAAUCAUCAAGUCAUCCGCAAAACACAAAUGUGUUAGAUCGAGAUUCUUACACUUUGGAUGAUAUCUUAUCUUCCCUCUUGAAGCCACCCCAUCUAGGAUCUUUGAUAAGACAUUCAUACAAAUCACAAAUAAGUAAGGCGAGAGAGGCAUCCUUAAUCCUCGUUUACUUUGAAAAUACCCAACUAGUUCCCUAUUGACUUGUAUCGAAAAUGAAGCUGAUGUUAUACAGCGUGAAAUCCAACUUAUAAACUUGUCUGGCAGACCCAAGCUUUCAGCGUGUUCAGAAGAAAACUCCAUUGCAUUGAAUCAAAAGGCUUUCGAAAUGUCUAUUUACAGAGCACAUCUAGGUGAUAUAUCAUCUCUAUGAUAAUCCUUUACCAAUUCAGUAGCAAGAAACAGAUUCUCCAUUAGCAAACGCUCCUUAAUGAAAGCCGAUUGGUUCCAGGUAAUAAACUUAGGCAUAAUCCUUUUGAGCCUAUUAGCAAUGAUUUUUGAUAUUAUCUUAUACAACACAUUGCAACAGGAUAUGGGUAUGUAGUCCUUCAUCAUCUUCAGUUCUUCACUCCUUCCGUAUUUGGUAUGAGUGCUAAAAUUUUAGAGUUUAAACCUUUAGGUAGAAACUCUGUAAUGAAGAACAAUUGAGCAGCCACUGUGAUAUCUCCUCCAAUAAUUUCCCAUGCCUCCUUAAAAAAUUCAGUAGUAAACCCAUCUGGCCCCGACGACUUAUUGCUAGGCAUUCUGAAUAUUAUUUCUUUGAUCUCAUCUUUUGUUACCUCUCUUUACAGCUUAGAACAAUCCAUUUCACUACAUUUGAAAUCCAAAAGCUCUGUUAAAAUAUUCACAUAGACUCCUUCAAAGUCCAUUGAUUAUCUUCUCAUGAACUCAUCAAAGAAAUUCUCAGCUUCCACUUUAUCUCUUCACCAAUUUUUGCAACCGAUCCAUCCGCCCUUUGAAUUUCAUGGAUAACAUUCUUAACUUCUCGGAUCUUUGCUGAAUUAUGGAAAAAUUGAUUAUUCUCAUCUCCCACGUCCAGCCAAUAGAUUUUAGAUGUUUGCUUCAGAAAUUUCUCUCCAAGUCAGCCAAUCUUUGCUACUUGACAGUUGCAAUCUCUUCUCGCAUUGCUUCCGGUAUUGGGUUCUCCAAGGUCUCUUUUUACUUUAUACAUAAGACUUUAUAUGCUUCCUUUGUUCUUUUGGGUAAGUUUCCAAUUUGAACUUACUAAGUUCUCUUGAUGGUUGUUUCCAGAGUUUUUAACCGUUUUAUAAACCUAAACAUCGCAGAUGUCGAAUGAUAUAGAGUCUGAGUUUCAUAUCCUCUCCAUUGAUCCUCCCUAAGUGGUUGAAACAUACUCCACUUAUUUAAAUUUAAUAGAAAUAUUUGUUUAUUUGUCACCUUCGAAAUUUAUUGUAUCUGCUUAAUACUCAUACUAUUAAAGAGUUUUUAUUUUAUAUUGAAAAGUAAUGUCUGAAGUAACUGGGAAAUGAGUUGGUGUGACAUAUUGGGAGGGGAGGGGCCACCAACUUCUUAAUUAAGAUUGGAUUUCCAUUGCAAACAGCGAAAGAAAAACAGAGAUACUAUUAAUCGGAAUUUUAAUGAACCUAUUAGGUGUUAUCUCCAUUGGUAGAAUUAUAAUGGGUGUCUCACAAAUAAAAAUGAUUUGAAAGAAGCAAAAAGAAGAAUGAAAAUUUCUCAUGAGAUUAUUUUAUCUGAGAAUUUUCAUGAACCUCAUGAAAACUCUCAUAACUAAUAUAUCUUUCGUUUAUUGGUUUGUUUCUUAUUUUAGAUAAACUUUAAUUCAAGAAUGAAAACUAUUACUAUUAUUAUUACAUGAGAUACUCUAAAAAUUCGGUCUUCUCGCUUUCACUUUUUAUAUCGUCAUGACAUACCGAUCAUAACCACACAACUUUAUUCCAUUUGUUUAAUUAAAUGUCUUCAGUUCUAUGAUCUAUCUCAUCUUCUAUUGAUUUUAAACAUAAAAUGUGUUAUGUCGACUAAACUUCUAGAAAAUGAAUACUUAUAAUUUUGUUUGACUGCUUAUAUAUUUAAUCAUUAUCUUGUGUAGAAAUAAUCAUUUUCUAGGUUAGGAUGUACAAAUUAUAGGUUUAUGAUCAUAUCUUAUCAAGAAAUUUAUAAGUCCUAUAAAUUAUUUUAUGGGGGUAGUAAAUAGGGAUGUAAAGUUUAUAGCGUUGGCACUAGCCAAGAUGUAGAUCUCCAUGUAAAUUGUUUGCGUUCUCGAAUCUCGUGGAGCUAUUGAACUUUUAAAUCUGAAAGUCCUUUUGAACUUUACUACGAUAAUAUAGUGUUUUUGGAACAAAAUUAACAAUUAGCAUAAAGUAUAAUGUUAUUUUCCUUCUCAGAAUAAUAGAAAGUUGAAAUAGCUCCAAGACACUGAGGUUAAGUCCGCAAACAAUUAUGAUUAUGAGACACAAAAAGAGUACUGUUUUCAUAGUCAUAGCUUAAUCAAAAGUUCACAACCCAUCAUAAUAACAACAACCUGUUUAUUUAUCUUACAA